CUGUACCUGGCCUAACCUAGUCUUUGUCUCCUGAUCUAGUAAUUACAGGCUGGGCUAUCUAAUUUUAGCUGAGCUGUUUGAUUGGCAGACCUCGCAAGACUCGGCAGUCUGGAAAAACACGAAUACAGAGCGUCACAAUAGGCAUACCAGAUCAUCGGUUACACAGGCGCAUUAACGUUACGAAGGGAAGAUUCGGCGAAGCAAUUUCCAGUGGCAAAAUAAACUUCAUGCGUCAUAGAGCUGAGGCCAUUGCUUUCUCUACCUUUGACGCUUCCAGGGCCGAUAUAUUGCAGCAUAGCAUAAUAUCAACAACGUUCUCUCACCCAGGGCAAACGGCUGAUGGAUUUGCAUCUACCUAUGUGACCGCUUUUCGCUCUGCUGCCACCUCAAGCCGAAAACCGGUUAGUUAUCAAAAGCUCACCUCUUGAUCAUUGUUCCGUCAGUGACAAAUCAUGCUCUGGACGAUAUCUCUGGCGCCGCUAAAAGUGCGCUCACGAUCCCAAGUCUAUAUCAACGCUCGGUCAGCUUAAAAGGGUAGGAGACCUACUCUUUCUGAUUACAAUAGCCGCAUUUUUUCGGCCUAUUCAAUAGAUGUGCUGUGGCCCAUUGCAGUGGUGAUGAUACGAUACGUUCCACUGAAGUAAUUCGUGGAAAACGACCCUCUAAACCAGAGUCGCCAUAAACAUGAGGUUAGCAGGCAAACGCUACAAGCAAAAGGUCGCAAAUCUUCAUGGAUGACUUCUUACGGUCACCGUUCGAGUUGAUAGUACGAGUACAGAUUAAC